AGUCGAGCGGAGUUUUGAAAGCUUGCUUUUCAAAACUUAGCGGCGGACGGGUGAGUAACACGUGGGCAACCUGCCCUUGAGACGGGGAUAACUCCGGGAAACCGGAGCUAAUACCGGAUAACACAUAUCUUCGCAUGAGGAUAUGUUAGAAGGUGGCUUUUAGCUACCACUCAAGGAUGGGCCCGCGGCGCAUUAGCUAGUUGGUGAGGUAACGGCUCACCAAGGCGACGAUGCGUAGCCGACCUGAGAGGGUGAUCGGCCACACUGGGACUGAGACACGGCCCAGACUCCUACGGGAGGCAGCAGUAGGGAAUCUUCCGCAAUGGACGAAAGUCUGACGGAGCAACGCCGCGUGAGUGAUGAAGGUUUUCGGAUCGUAAAGCUCUGUUGUUAGGGAAGAACAAGUACCUGUUAAAUAAGCAGGUACCUUGACGGUACCUAACCAGAAAGCCACGGCUAACUACGUGCCAGCAGCCGCGGUAAUACGUAGGUGGCAAGCGUUGUCCGGAAUUAUUGGGCGUAAAGCGCGCGCAGGCGGUUCCUUAAGUCUGAUGUGAAAGCCCACGGCUCACCGUGGAGGGUCAUUGGAAACUGGGGAACUUGAGUGCAGAAGAGGAGAGC
rnacentral:rRNA from 1 species